UACAGGGGGUGCGAGCGUUGUCCGGAAUCACUGGGCGUAAAGGGCGCGUAGGUGGUUUGAUAAGGGUGUGGUGAAAGUCCGGGGCUCAACCCCGGAUCUGCCGUGCCGACUGUCAAACUCGAGGGCUGUAGAGGCAGACGGAAUUCCGGGUGUAGCGGUGGAAUGCGUAGAGAUCCGGAGGAAGACCGGUGGCGAAGGCGGUCUGCUGGGCAGUUUCUGACACUGAUGCGCGAAAGCGUGGGGAGCAAACAGG
rnacentral:rRNA from 1 species